rnacentral:lncRNA from 1 species
GCCGCCGGCGCGCUCCACCCGGAGCGAGGCCAUCGUGCAGCAAGGAGGAAUACCAGCUGAUGUCAGUCCGCCAGCCAAAACCAGGGAGGAGAAGCGGGAGCCAGCCCUCUGGAGUCGGGAGAAGGAAGAAGGUGCCACAGCUCUUCAGGACCACGGUUGGGAGAAAGAAUGGAGGGGUUUUAGAACCUUCAGUGUGCGACUUCAUGUGCCAGUCUUCAUCUCAGGAUCUCAAGCUCUUGGAUCAUGGGCACGGAUAACCUGUUGUCCUCCUCUAUGGUCAAGAGGCUGCUUUUGCAAAGAAUCCAGUGGGAGAGAGUCAAUGGCCUGCUUGACGUGAACUCCAAAGUCCUCCUGGAACAGGGGCUCACUCUGUUGCCCACAUUGGAGUGCGGUGGAAGAAUCAUGGCAUGCUGCAGUCUUGAGCUUCUAGGCUCAAGAGAUCCUCCUGGUUCAGUCUCCCAAGUAGCUAGGACAGCAGGCAUAUUUUUUGUAGAUAUGGGGGUCUUGCUUUUUUGCCGAGGCUGGUCUCGAACUCCUGGCUUCAAGCAAUCUUCCUGCAUCAGUCUCUUAAAGUGUUGGGAUUCCAGGCAUGAACCACUGCACCUGGCCCUUGGGAAGUUUUAUUUUUAGCCUAGGGUUGGGGUUAAGUUUGCAUCAUGAUGUUGAGACCUCCAAAGGAGAACUUAUUGUAGUCAUUCCUGAGCUCAGGUGUCCAAACUGUCUAAUUGGAGAAUCUGGGAAUUUUCUCUCGUUUUGAUUUUCCUCUUCCACUUUUCCAUGCCAGUUGGAUGUUUGAAUGUUUUUAUCGACCUCUGAGAGCAUCCGGGUAACUGAGGGUUUACUUUGGGGGUCUUUGGAGAUGAAUAGGGACAGGAGACCUCACCUUUCUUUUCCAUGUAGCCAUAGGAGAUAGUCCCACGAUCUGAUGAUCUGUAGCAAUGGGUAGAGGAAGGGCCGUAUUAG